GCCUGGCUGGCUCAGUCGGUCGAGCGUCCGACUUCGGCUCAGGUCACGAUCUCGCCGUCCACGAGUUCGAGCCCCGUGUCAGGCU
rfam:Felis catus isolate Cinnamon breed Abyssinian chromosome C1, whole genome shotgun sequence.